rnacentral:rRNA from 1 species
UACGUAGGGUGCGAGCGUUAAUCGGAAUUACUGGGCGUAAAGCGUGCGCAGGCGGAUUGUUAAGCAAGAUGUGAAAUCCCCGGGCUUAACCUGGGAAUGGCAUUUGUGACUGCAAGACUAGAGUGCGGCAGAGGGGGGUAGAAUUCCACGUGUAGCAGUGAAAUGCGUAGAUAUGUGGAGGAAUACCGAUGGCGAAGGCAGCCCCCUGGGUCGACACUGACGCUCAUGCACGAAAGCGUGGGGAGCAAACAGG